GAUGAACGCUAGCGGCAGGCUUAAUACAUGCAAGUCAAGGGGGUAGCAAUACAACCGGCGCACGGGUGAGUAACGCGUACACAACAUACCAUAUACUGGAGUAUAGCUUUGGGAAACUGAAGGUAAUCCUCCAUAACAUUGCGAGAGGGCAUCUGAUUGCAAUUAAAGUUUCGGCGGUAUAUGAUUGGUGUGCGUUUGAUUAGCUAGUUGGUAGGGUAACGGCCUACCAAGGCGACGAUCGGUAGGGGGUGUGAGAGCAUGGCCCCCCCACACGGGUACUGAGACACGGACCCGACUCCUACGGGAGGCAGCAGUAAGGAAUAUUGGACAAUGGACGGAAGUCUGAUCCAGCCAUGCCGCGUGAAGGAAGAAGGCGCUCAGCGUUGUAAACUUCUUUUGGAUGGGAAUAAUAAUGUCGACGUGCUCGGCACUUGAAGGUACCAUCAGAAUAAGCACCGGCUAACUCCGUGCCAGCAGCCGCGGUAAUGUACAGUGU
rnacentral:rRNA from 1 species